CUCCCGGAUGUUAGCGGCGGACGGGUGAGUAACACGUGGGUAACCUGCCUGUAAGACUGGGAUAACUCCGGGAAACCGGAGCUAAUACCGGAUAGUUCCUUGAACCGCAUGGUUCAAGGAUGAAAGACGGUUUCGGCUGUCACUUACAGAUGGACCCGCGGCGCAUUAGCUAGUUGGUGGGGUAAUGGCUCACCAAGGCGACGAUGCGUAGCCGACCUGAGAGGGUGAUCGGCCACACUGGGACUGAGACACGGCCCAGACUCCUACGGGAGGCAGCAGUAGGGAAUCUUCCGCAAUGGACGAAAGUCUGACGGAGCAACGCCGCGUGAGUGAUGAAGGUUUUCGGAUCGUAAAGCUCUGUUGUUAGGGAAGAACAAGUGCGAGAGUAACUGCUCGCACCUUGACGGUACCUAACCAGAAAGCCACGGCUAACUACGUGCCAGCAGCCGCGGUAAUACGUAGGUGGCAAGCGUUGUCCGGAAUUAUUGGGCGUAAAGGGCUCGCAGGCGGUUUCUUAAGUCUGAUGUGAAAGCCCCCGGCUCAACCGGGGAGGGUCAUUGGAAACUGGGAAACUUGAGUGCAGAAGAGGAGAGUGGAAUUCCACGUGUAGCGGUGAAAUGCGUAGAGAUGUGGAGGAACACCAGUGGCGAAGGCGACUCUCUGGUCUGUAACUGACGCUGAGGAGCGAAAGCGUGGGGAGCGAACAGGAUUAGAUACCCUGGUAGUCCACGCCGUAAACG
rnacentral:rRNA from 1 species